rnacentral:rRNA from 1 species
GACGAACGCUGGCGGCGUGCCUAACACAUGCAAGUCGAACGAAGCACUGUAAGUUGAGACUUCGGUUGAUACUUACUUUGACUUAGUGGCGGACGGGUGAGUAAUGCGUGAGCAACCUGCCUCGGAGUGGGGGACAACAGUUGGAAACGACUGCUAAUACCGCAUAAUGUUAUUUGAGGGCAUCCCUGAAUAACCAAAGAUUUAUUGCUGAAAGAUGGUCUCGCGUCUGAUUAGCUAGUUGGUGAGGUAACGGCUCACCAAGGCAACGAUCAGUAGCCGGUCUGAGAGGAUGAACGGCCACAUUGGGACUGAGAUACGGCCCAGACUCCUACGGGAGGCAGCAGUGGGGAAUAUUGGGCAAUGGGCGCAAGCCUGACCCAGCAACGCCGCGUGAAGG